AUGUUAAAACUAGUAACAAGAAGAAGCCCUUCUCCAAAAUGUAAGCUUGAGCCACAAUGAACAAAUCACUGGCAUUUAAAGUCUAUAAACCUCUAUUAGCAACUCAACCUAGAAAACCCUACUUAUUAGUACGUCAACCUUACACCAGCACAUUUCUGGAAAGACUAAAAGAAUAGGAAGGAACUCGGCAAAUAACUAACCCCGCCUGUUUACCAAAAACAUCGCCUUCUGAUACUCAUAGAAGGUCCAGCCUGCCCAGUGACUAAGUUAAACGGCCGCGGUACCCUAACCGUGCAAAGGUAGCGCAAUCACUUGUUCUUUAAAUGAGGACUAGUAUGAACGGCAUCACGAGGGUUACACUGUCUCCCUAUUCCAUUCAGUGAAACUGAUCUUCCCGUGAAGAAGCGGGAAUAUAAAUAUAAGACGAGAAGACCCCAUGGAGCUUUAAACUCAGUGUCAUCUGCCACUUCAAUACCCUCUUAAUUACGCAGACCAUGAUAACUAGUUUUCGGUUGGGGUGACCGCGGAGUAAAACAAAACCUCCACAACGAAAGGAACUAACAACCUAAUCCAAGAGCAACAUCUCUAAGAAUCAACAAAUUGACUUAAUUGAUCCAAUUACUUGAUCAACGAACCAAGUUACCCUGGGGAUAACAGCGCAAUCCAUUUCAAGAGCUCAUAUCGACAAAUGGGUUUAC
rnacentral:rRNA from 1 species